UAGCUCACUUGCAUGAUGUGCCCUAAUAAC
rnacentral:piRNA from 1 species